rnacentral:rRNA from 1 species
GGCUCAGAUUGAACGCUGGCGGCAUGCCUUACACAUGCAAGUCGAACGGCAGCGGACCUUCGGGUGCCGGCGAGUGGCGAACGGGUGAGUAAUAUAUCGGAACGUACCUUUCAGUGGGGGAUAACGUAGCGAAAGUUACGCUAAUACCGCAUAUUCUGUGAGCAGGAAAGCAGGGGAUCGCAAGACCUUGCGCUGAUUGAGCGGCCGAUAUCAGAUUAGCUAGUUGGUGAGGUAAAGGCUCACCAAGGCGACGAUCUGUAGCGGGGUCUGAGAGGAUGAUCCGCCACACUGGAACUGAGACACGGUCCAGACUCCUACGGGAGGCAGCAGUGGGGAAUUUUGGACAAUGGGCGCAAGCCUGAUCCAGCCAUGCCGCGUGAGUAAAGAAGGCCUUCGGGUUGUAAAGCUCUUUCGGCCGGGAAGAAAUCGCACAGGUUAAUACCCUGUGUGGAUGACGGUACCGGAAUAAGAAGCACCGGCUAACUACGUG